rnacentral:rRNA from 1 species
UACCAGCACCCCGAGUGGUCGGGACGAUUAUUGGGCCUAAAGCAUCCGUAGCCGGUCCUGCAAGUCUUCCGUUAAAUCCAGCUGCUCAACAGAUGGGCUGCGGGGGAUACUACAGGGCUAGGAGGCGGGAGAGGCAAGCGGUACUUUAUGGGUAGGGGUAAAAUCCGUUGAUCCAUAGAAGACCACCAGUGGCGAAGGCGGCUUGCCAGAACGCGCUCGACGAG